rnacentral:rRNA from 1 species
GAUGAACGCUGGCGGCGUGCCUAAUACAUGCAAGUCGAGCGAACAGACGAGGAGCUUGCUCCUCUGACGUUAGCGGCGGACGGGUGAGUAACACGUGGAUAACCUACCUAUAAGACUGGGAUAACUUCGGGAAACCGGAGCUAAUACCGGAUAAUAUAUUGAACCGCAUGGUUCAAUAGUGAAAGACGGUUUUGCUGUCACUUAUAGAUGGAUCCGCGCCGCAUUAGCUAGUUGGUAAGGUAACGGCUUACCAAGGCAACGAUGCGUAGCCGACCUGAGAGGGUGAUCGGCCACACUGGAGCUGAGACACGGUCCAGACUCCUACGGGAGGCAGCAGUAGCGAAUCUUCCGCAAUGGGCGAAAGCCUGACGGAGCAACGCCGCGUGAGUGAUGAAGGUCUUCGGAUCGUAAAACUCUGUUAUUAGGGAAGAACAAAUGUGUAAGUAACUAUGCACGUCUUGACGGUACCUAAUCAGAAAGCCACGGCUAACUACGUG